GCGGCCAUGGUUUAGUGGUAGAACGAGUCCUUGCCAAGGAUUAGACGGGAGUUCGAUUCUCCCUGGCCGCACCA
rnacentral:tRNA from 1 species